rnacentral:sRNA from 1 species
AGCUGCUCGAUCUUGCGAACGAGCUGGGGCAAGUCGACCGGCUU